GACGGUGUCCGGUUGAAACCAGAUUUAGCCGGUUUACACAGACCCCCAUACAGCUCGGGCAGAAAAUGCGCGGUUAAACGUAUUUGCAAUUUUGUGCACUUAUCUCUCUACCUAGGGUGCUAGUGAUGAACGAACAAAUAAGUCGUGUUAAGAAAAAUGUGUUACAAUGUUAUUACAUGUGGGUCGAUUCAGCUUCCUCAGCUCGGAUCGCGAACAGUAAUCGAUGUAUAAAGCACACAGAAAAACUGCUUCAUUUGUCAUAAUCAACUAAAUAUAUCUAUGUUAUUCAUCAUGUAAUUGACGAAAUUCAUACCAUGAUGACGCAAUUGAGAAUUGCGCAGAAUAUAAAGCAAGAUUUUUGGAGAUUUUUGAAUUAUUAUUUUUGGAAAUUACCCAAUUUUGUAACUGUCCUUAAUUUCAACCAUUUUUAACAUUUUAGUGUUAGGUUAAGACAAUUUUUCUUCCUAGAACAUGGUAGAGGUCCGAGUGCUAUGACAGAACAGGCUAGGUGGGCCUGGCGCUACGGUUAGGAACGUUAUUAAGAAAUAAUCACUUUAAAAGCAAUGUCAAUUGUCUGGCCAAAAUCUAAAAUUGUUCCAGAAAUAUUUAACUUGUGAUGAUUAAUUUUUCA